GAAAUUAGGGAUCCUGUCCCAUCCUUCCAUCCAUCCAAUCCCUCACCCGCCACCACCACUCUCUCCCUUGGGAUUCUCCCAGAUCCCCUCCUCAUCUCCUCCCACAGCAACCACCGAUCCACCUCGUCUUCAACACCGGGCCAACCAGCGCCCGAGCCCGAGCUCCACUCGAUCCCUCUCCUUCCCGAUGACAUGGACAUGCCGCCGUCGCCUGUAGCUUCCACGCCCGCCGACCACGACCAGCUCUGCCAGGCCGGCCUCGCCCCUUGCCUUCCCUCCUUCCUUUUCUUUCUCCCUCUCUCUUUUCUUACGUCUCUCCUUGUCAUGACAAGAGCAGCCAUGGCGCCCGAGCGCCUCGUGUUUGUCAGCCCGUCAGAUGGAUUCAGCUCACGCCCCUCUCUCUGGACCUGCAGGAAACAUGGAGCCCGAAGCCAUGGCCGCGCCUCCCAUUUUACUCGACCCCGGCGUUGCCAAGUUCCUUGUCGCAGGACGCCGAUGCCCUGCCUUAAGCCACUACCGCCGGUCACCGAGGCCACCCUGUCCUCGAUCUGGACCGCUCGAGUGACCAUGCUUGUUGAAGCUGUCGCUCCACGAGUCAUUGGACCUCGCUGGAUUUCGCUGCCAGGUCCAUGCCGCCCUUGCCUCCACUCCGUCAGCAUGCACCACCGGAGCCCCGAUUUUGUUACAGCCCCAAGCGCCUCACCUCUGCACCCGCCCUGAUGGCCUCCUCUACCCCGGGAUAUUCUCCCAUGGAUCCCUCCUUCUCCUCGCGUCAAGCACCAGCGCUCUAGGGCCGGCCUUCCAUUGUUCGUCCUCAUCGUCUCUCGCAACACCGGCGCUCCCGGCAGCCGCGCCGCUCGAUCCACCUCACCGACGACAGCACUAGCAGGUCCCGGCCAUGGAUGCCAGAGCACGAGCUCCCUCCUCCUCGUUGCACGCAUCACCCGUCGGAGUCGCCCCGGUCGCCGCCUCGCCAAGCUCCGUCGCCGCCGGUGACCUUCGCGUCGAGAUGCCGGAGUUCACGCCCCCCUGCACCUGCAUCGUGCCUCUUCCGUCCUCUGCAUUGAAGCAGUUGCAGAGGAGGAUGAGCACCUCGAACCCCCUUGUAUCGCUCGCGUUGACCGCGCCAGCGCGUGGGUCACGCCAGCGCGUGGGUCCGACCUGCUGCUUCCUCCUCCACCCACCGGGCCCGCCUCUGUGUCGGGGUUGUGUCUACCUCCUCAUUUGGUAGCUACGCGGCGACCUUUGGGGCACGGUAGUUUCGACCAUUCUCUCUUAUGAUUGCGUAACAGGAUGAAUUACUAAUUGUAGUGCAUAAAUCAUGUUUCAUUAGCAUAUUUAGCACAUCACCAGACACGAAUGUCCCUUCUAUGUGAAAACAUGAACCUUUUAAAAUAACUUGAAAACUUUUUGAAUUUUUGAUUGGUUUUUGAAAAGGAAACACAUUUUAAAUUCAGAUUUUUUUAAAUGUGUUUCUUUAAACUCGAUCAUUAUCCUGAAUUUGCGAACAUUGCACCAAAACAAGAAUAUUUUUCAUAUUUCAAACAUUUUUAAAAUGAUUUUUUUGGAAAAUAUCAAAUAACUUUGGAAAACACAAGAAAAAAUGGAACGUGUAUAAAAAUAUAUACCAAUUUUGGAAUGAGAACAUUUUUUGUAUUCCAAACAUUUUUUGUAUUUCAAACAUUUUUCAAAACAUAAUAUAUUUUUAAAUUUUUGACAUUUUUUAAAAAAUCUAAUUUUCCAAAUAAUAUGAACUUUUUUGAAAAUUUUGAAUUUAUGAGAAAAGGAGUAAGAAAAAUAAAUUUGAAAGGAAAAAGACAAAAGAAACGGGAAAGAAAAAAAAGAAAAAUACAAACAUAACACAGACCAAAAGGAAGAAAACGGCUCACGGAAGUUUGGGCGCCCUAAGCGGAUUUGUGACUAUUUUAGAAUGAGAGCAAAGAUUUAAUGUUCCCAAAAAAUUUCAAACUGGAAUAUAUUUCAAAAUUCGAAUUUUUCUGGUAUUAUGAACUUUUUUGAAAAUUUUAAAUUUACAAAAAAAGGGAGAAAGAAAAAUAAACUUGAAAGAAAGAAAGAGAAAAGAAACAGGAAAGAAAAAGAUAUAGAAACGGAAAAGAGUUUUUAAAUAUAUAUAAUUUCCUGAAUAUUCUAGGAAACAUGAAUAAUUUUGGAAAUCCCAAACAUUUUUUUGACAUUCUUUACAUUUUUACAGAAAUACACAACAAAAUUUGAAUCGUUCAAAAUUCACAGUUUAAUUUAAAAACAUGAACCAUUUAAAAUAAGAAGAACAUUUUUCGAAUUUGUGAUUGCUUUUGAAAAAAGGAAAAACAUUUUCAACACUGAGAACAAUUUUUUAAAAUGUUUUUCUUUAACCUCAGACAUUAUUCUGAAUUUGUGAAUAUUUCACUAAAAAGAGAAUAUUGUUCAUAUUUGGAACAUUUUUUAAAUGCUUUUUUUGGAAAAGCCGAAAAACUUUGGAAAGACAAAGAAAAAUGGAACAUUUAAAAAACAUCUCUACCAAUUUUGGAAUGAGAACAAAAUUUUAAUAUUCUGAACAUUUUUUCAGAAAAAUAUUUUAAAACUUUGGAUCUUUUUAAAAAAUCGAGUUUUUGGAAUAAUAUGAACUUUUCUGAAAUUUUUUGAAUUUAUGAAAAAGGGGUAAAGAAAAAUAAACUUGAAAGGAAAUAAGACAAAAGAAACGGGAAAGAAUAAAAAGAAAGAAAUGGAAAAAGAAAAAUAGAAACAUAACGCGGAACUAGAAAAAACAGUUCAGCCUAGCUAGGGGGCCCUGCGCGAAUUUGUAAAUAUUUGAUGCUCAGUGUGAUUAAUAGGAGUUUUCCACUUGCAUGGGCACAAAAUUAAUAGCGUUUGCUACUAUUUGACGCUCACUGCAAUAUAACAAAGCAAAAGAAAACGGGUCAGCCCAGCUUGGUGGCCAUGUGCGAAUUUCCUGCUAUUUGACGCUCACUACAAUAAAUAGAGUUUUGCUACUAAUGUCGGCACCAAAAUAAACAG